rnacentral:rRNA from 1 species
UACGUAGGGUGCGAGCGUUAAUCGGAAUUACUGGGCGUAAAGCGUGCGCAGGCGGUUUUGUAAGUCUGACGUGAAAUCCCCGGGCUUAACCUGGGAAUUGCGUUGGAGACUGCAAGGCUGGAGUCUGGCAGAGGGGGGUAGAAUUCCACGUGUAGCAGUGAAAUGCGUAGAGAUGUGGAGGAACACCGAUGGCGAAGGCAGCCCCCUGGGUUAACACUGACGCUCAGGCACGAAAGCGUGGGGAGCAAACAGG